CCUGAGAAACGGCUACCACAUCCAAGGAAGGCAGCAGGCGCGCAAAUUACCCACUCCCGGCACGGGGAGGUAGUGACGAAAAAUAACGAUACGGGACUCAUCCGAGGCCCCGUAAUCGGAAUGAGUACACUUUAAAUCCUUUCACGAUUAACAAUUGGAGGGCAAGCCUGGUGCCAGCAGCCGCGGUAAUUCCAGCUCCAAUAGCGUAUAUUAAAGUUGUUGCGGUUAAAAAGCUCGUAGUUGAAUCUGUGUCCCACACUGUCGGUUCACCGCUCGCGGUGUUCAACUGGCAUGUCUGUGGGACGUCCUGCCGGUGGGCGCAGCCCCUCAAAAGGCGGCCCAAUUGAAAUCCUACCACGGUGCUCUUCACCGAGUGUCGAGGUGGGCCGGCACGUUUACUUUGAACAAAUUAGAGUGCUUAAAGCAGGCUCAUUCGCCUGAAUAUUCUGUGCAUGGAAUAAUGGAAUAGGACCUCGGUUCUAUUUUGUUGGUUUUCGGAACUCCGAGGUAAUGAUUAAUAGGGACAACUGGGGGCAUUCGUAUUGCGACGUUAGAGGUGAAAUUCUUGGAUCGUCGCAAGACGGACAGAAGCGAAAGCAUUUGCCAAAUGUGUUUUCAUCAAUCAAGAACGAAAGUUAGAGGUUCGAAGGCGAUCAGAUACCGCCCUAGUUCUAACCAUAAACGAUGCCAGCUAGCGAUCCGCCGAAGUUCCUCCGAUGACUCGGCGGGCAGCUUCCGGGAAACCAAAGCUUUUGGGUUCCGGGGGAAGUAUGGUUGCAAAGCUGAAACUUAAAGGAAUUGACGGAAGGGCACCACCAGGAGUGGAGCCUGCGGCUUAAUUUGACUCAACACGGGGAACCUCACCAGGCCCAGACACCGGAAGGAUUGACAGAUUGAGAGCUCUUUCUUGAUUCGGUGGGAGGUGGUGCAUGGCCGUUCUUAGUUGGUGGAGCGAUCUGUCUGCUUUAUUGCGAUAACGAACGAGACUCUAGCCUGCUAAAUAGGCGUACUUUCCGGUAUCUCGAAGGCCCGCCGGCUCGGUUUCGGCCGUUGUCGUGUGUGGUUUUUACUACCGGCGUACAUAUAUAUCUUCUAGAGGGACAGGUGGCAUUUAGUCGCACGAGAUUGAGCAAUAACAGGUCUGUGAUGC
rnacentral:rRNA from 1 species